AAAAUGAAAUGAUCAAUAAUCCACUAUUUGUGGAAUUAUUCAAAUAAUUAGUAUAAAUUAGAGGGGCAGACAAGGAAUAAAAAACAACAUUACAAAGGAGAUUUUGGUACAAGAAUUGGAUUAUUCUGAAAUUAUGCAGACCAUGAAUCUUCAACUUGCUGAUAAUGCCUUUCAUAGCUAUACACAGCGUUCCCAUAACUGCGAGCAUCAUCACUUCUUUCGCCGUAUGGAUAUGGAUUCCCAAACAGAUAAUCAGCACUUUCUUUCCAUUGAUUGCUGCAAUUUCCAUAAUCUGCAACUUGUUGACAAUCGUUCACUCUCCUUGCAUAACGAGUCAGGCAGGGCCAGUACCCAAAUAAACCUUCACAAAGAUCCAUUGCUUCCAACCCAUACCCAGAUGGAAUUUCAGGCACUGACACUUGUUUCUCAUACUCAUAUCCGUUGCCAUACCCAGACCAAGGAGAGUGAUCAUCACCAUACUUUUCCUUGCUUUCCUCUCCAGGAUACAAGUCUAAAGGCUCCCUCUGAGAAUUGCCAUGGUCAUGGUCAUACUCACCUAGCUGCUGCUGCUCUGUCUCGUUGAUGGCGGGUGGUUGUGGUUGGCUUUCGCUCGGGGGUGUUUUUGCAUGCUCUUCAACUUCCUUUUCUCCAAUAGGGGAUGUUAUCGGCACAGAAGAGACUCCAUUUAAGGGUAAGAUACCCAGAUCAGGCGUGGAGCGAGGAUAACAAGUUUCAUCAGAAGGUGGAAGGGGUUUGCCAUAGGUCUGAGUCAGAUCAUAGCCACCACCAUAAGGUGUUGGAUCAUAUUCUUCAAAAUCAGGCUCUCCAGACUCUGAAACAGAGUAAGAUAUGAUGAACUGAGUCUGAGCAGGAAAGUAAAGAUCAGGAUCAUACUGAAUAUACUUGGGUUCGCUGGAAGUGGAUACAGAAUAUGCAGUUCUUGAAUAACUUGAAACAGGAUCGUAAGCAACGAAAAGAGGAAUCGGAUCAUAGGCAAAAAUUUGGUAAUCAUUGGACUUGUAGCUGGAAUACGCCAUAGCAUCUUGAAUUGCUGCAGAAUCAUAACUAUUAUAGCAAGGGGUCAAAGGGUAUUCACCAUCGUACUCACCAUGAUCAUCCAUAUAAUAGCUAGAGCUGUAGUAAGCCAUUGUGUAUCAAUCUGGCUUCUAAUUUCUCGUCAAGAAGCAAGAUACAUGAGAAAUCAAAAAGAUGAAUACAGCAGUUACUUGCACAUCUGAACUUGACUCAAUUCAGAUGCCCACCACCAUUCAGUUGCAGGCCUUAUCUGAUAAAGGAUAGGUGGGAUGCCACUGUCACAAGAAAAACUCUCCAAAAAGAAUUUGACGUUUUGUGAUGAUAAGAUAAGGAUCUAAAUUAAGAUAAUUUGCAAGGCCUGUUGAAGAUAAACCUUUGCCUUUAGUCCAUGAAAAGGACAAAACUUUCAAAGGCCAUAUGACGGAGGACACAAGCUGAAAGCAACCGAAAAAGCAUCCCUGUUAUUUCAGCUGAAGGGGGUAGGAGGGGUUAG
rnacentral:misc_RNA from 1 species